AGAGUUUGAUCAUGGCUCAGAAUCAACGCUGGCGGCGCGCUUAACACAUGCAAGUCGCACGAGAAAGUGGAGCAAUCCAUGAGUACAGUGGCGUACGGGUGAGUAACACGUGGAUCAUCUACCUCUUAGUGGGGAAUAACCCUGGGAAACCGGGGCUAAUACCGCAUAAGCUCGAGAGAGGAAAGCAGCAAUGUGCUGAGAGAGGAGUCCGCGGCCGAUUAGCUAGUUGGCAGGGUAAACGCCUACCAAGGCAAAGAUCGGUAGCCGGCCUGAGAGGGCACACGGCCACACUGGCACUGAAACACGGGCCAGACUCCUACGGGAGGCAGCAGUGGGGAAUCUUGCACAAUGGGGGAAACCCUGAUGCAGCGACGCCGCGUGAGCGAUGAAGCCCUUCGGGGUGUAAAGCUCUUUCGGCAGGGACGAUCAUGACGGUACCUGCAGAAGCAGCUGCGGCUAACUACGUGCCAGCAGCCGCGGUAAUACGUAGGCAGCGAGCGUUGUUCGGAGUUACUGGGCGUAAAGGGUGUGUAGGCGGUUGCUUAAGUUUGGUGUGAAAUCUCCCGGCUCAACUGGGAGGGUGCGCCGAAUACUGAGUGACUCGAGUGCGGGAGAGGAGAGUGGAAUUCCUGGUGUAGCGGUGAAAUGCGUAGAUAUCAGGAGGAACACCGGCGGUGUAGACGGCUCUCUGGACCGUAACUGACGCUGAGACACGAAAGCGUGGGUAGCAAACAGGAUUAGAUACCCUGGUAGUCCACGCCCUAAACGAUGCAUAUUUGGUGUGGGUCAUUCAGUUGAUCCGUGCCGGAGCUAGCGCGUUAAAUAUGCCGCCUGGGGAGUACAGUCGCAAGGCUGAACUCAAAGGAAUUGACGGGGCCCGCACAAGCGGUGGAGCAUGUGGUUCAAUUCGACGCACGCGAAGAACCUUACCUGGGCUCGAACGGCUGGUUACCGGCGGUGGAAACAU
rnacentral:rRNA from 1 species